AGUGGAUGGGGAGCAACCUAGUUGUGCGUGUGUAAAGGUAGUGCCAAAAAAGCGAUGAUCAUGUUGAAAAUCAAUUCCCGGUACCCGAAACCGACACAGGUGGGCAAGUAGAGAAUACUAAGGGGCGCGAGGUAACUCUCUCCAAGGAACUCGGCAAAAUGACCCCGUAACUUAGGGAGAAGGGGUGCCACCGAGAGGUGGUCGCAGUGAAGAGGCCCAGGCGACUGUUUAGCAAAAACAUAGGUCUCUGCAAACUCGAAAGAGGAGGUAUAGGGGCUGACGCCUGCCCAGUGCCGGAAGGUUAAAGAAGUUGGUCAGUUUUAGGAUGAAGCUAGCGACUGAAGCCCCGGUGAACGGCGGCCUAACUAUAACGGUCCUAAGGUAGCGAAAUUCCUUGUCGGGUAAGUUCCGACCCGCACGAAAGGCGUAACGAUCUGGGCGCUGUCUCGGAGAGAGGCUCGGCGAAAUAGGAUUGUCUGUGAAGAUACGGACUACCUGCAUUUGGACAGAAAGACCCUAUGAAGCUUUACUAUAGCUUGGAAUUGUGUUCGGGCUUCCUGUGCGCAGGAUAGGUGGGAGGCGUAGAAGGUAUUCUUGUGGGGAUACUGGAGCCAACGGUGAGAUACCACUCUCAGGAGGCUAGAAUUCUAACUUAAUUAAGGACAGUUUCAGGUGGGUAGUUUGACUGGGGCGGUCGCCUCCAAAAAGGUAACGGAGGCGUACAAAGGUUCCCUCAGACUGGUUGGAAAUCAGUCGAAGAGUGCAAAGGCAGAAGGGAGCUUGACUGCGAGAAGUACAGUUCGAGCAGGGUGGAAACACGGUCUUAGUGAUCCGACGGUGCUGUGUGGAAGGGCCGUCGCUCAACGGAUAAAAGUUACUCUAGGAUAACAGGCUGAUCUCCCCCAAGAGUUCACAUCGACGGGGAGGUUUGGCACCUCGAUGUCGGCUCAUCGCAACCUGGGGCGGAAGUACGUCCCAAGGGUUGGGCUGUUCGCCCAUUAAAGCGGUACGUGAGCUGGGUUCAGAACGUCGUGAGACAGUUCGGUCCAUAUCCGAUGUAGGCGUGAGAAUAUUGAGAGGAGCCUUCCUUAGUACGAGAGGACCGGGAAGGACGCACCGCUGGUGUACCUGUUAUGAUGCCAACUGUAAACGCAGGGUAGCCAAGUGCGGAGAGGAUAACCGCUGAAAGCAUCUAAGUGGGAAGCCCACCUCAAGAUGAGUAUUCUGGUGUAAGGUCACGGGAAGACGACCCGUAAAUAGGCACGAGGUGGAAGUGCAGAGAUGUAUGAAGCCGAAGUGUACUAAUAGACCGUCGGC
rnacentral:rRNA from 1 species